rnacentral:lncRNA from 1 species
CCCCAAUUGCUGAUUGGAUGAUACCAAGAUGAUCUUGAAACCUGGUGUCAAAGAUGGCAGAACUGCACAGGAGGAGAUGUGCCACCAAAUUGUUACACGGAAGCCCACCCACCUAACACCCAAUUGGACUGUGAGGUGAGCCAUUAGCGUUCUGGGGUUGUCUGGUGCAGCAGUUAGCAGACCUGGCUAACACAGUCCUCUCACCCUUUAGGUUGAGCAAACUAGAGAGUGCAGUCUUCAGAGUAAGUACCCUUGCUGCAUGGCGUGGUCAAAGAUGGUGCUCUUCAUGGGACUGACAACACUCCUACUGCUUACUGUGCCUUCACUGAUUGAACAGAGUGCCCUCAAUGACAGAACCUGGCAUCAGGUCACGAAUUCCACUCUCAUGAGUGACAUCCUUUGCAGUAAUACCAUCUUUCAUAUAGAACUGCUCCAUAACUGCUGAGUCAAGCUUACUCAGCAGAAUUUCCAGGGUUUGAUGCCGCUGACACAUCACCCAACUUUCUAGGACCAAAGUACAGAAGUACCGACAAUCAGAAUUCCUACAUCUCGUACAAUACACAGUUUCAUUUGGGAGAAUUGCAUUAAGAAACACUAUUUCUUCCUGGAAAGUCCGAUGUGGGUACCCUUGGUGAGAAGGCUUCAUGAAAUGCUUAGGAGAGUAAAAGAAGCUUUGAAUGGAGUCAAACCCACUGUAAACCCUAGCAAGUUUCAACGGGGGAACUAGUGCUUUCAGAAAAAGGUGGUACCACAUGUCUUCAAAAUGAAACAUCUCCUAGAGACAAACAUGCUACUGUCACUGAGCACAAAAGCUUCCUGCUUGUCAGUUUUUGUCACACUUAUGAUUGAACAUUGCACAUCCUUCAAACGUAUGCCCUGAUGGGAUCUCGGGUUGGUGCGGACAUCCCCAGAUCUUCGGUUUGUAUGAGGUUGCUACCUGGAGAACCAAGCCUCCAGCAACUUCCAGGUCCCUUCCAAAAACUGUGAAGCUUCCACCACCAUGAGCCCAGCCAACAACCAACAACCAUAGAAAAGCAACUAAAUUAAGUCUCUUCUGCUGCUGCCAUGGAUUGUUCCAGCUAUGUUACUAAAGUUCAGGUUCUUUUUUUUUUUUUUUUGGCUAUAAUUUUACAUUAACUUUUUUUUAAAAAAGGAUUAAUAAAAUUUUCCCACUUUUUUUUUGUUGUGAGUGA